GACGAACCGAGCAAACGUUAUUCGGAAUCACUGGGCUUAAAGGGCGCGUAGGCGGGCAUUCAAGUCUGUGGUGAAAUCCGGCAGCUUAACUGUCGAAUUGCCAUGGAUACUGGGUGUCUCGAGGGAGGUAGGGGCGCGCGGAACUAACGGUGGAGCGGUGAAAUGCGUUGAUAUCGUUAGGAACUCCGGUGGCGAAGGCGGCGCGCUGGACCUCUUCUGACGCUGAGGCGCGAAAGCCAGGGGAGCAAACGGG
rnacentral:rRNA from 1 species